GAUGAACGCUGGCGGCGUGCCUAAUACAUGCAAGUCGAGCGAACAGAUGAGGAGCUUGCUCCUCUGACGUUAGCGGCGGACGGGUGAGUAACACGUGGAUAACCUACCUAUAAGACUGGGAUAACUUCGGGAAACCGGAGCUAAUACCGGAUAAUAUAUUGAACCGCAUGGUUCAAUAGUGAAAGACGGUUUUGCUGUCACUUAUAGAUGGAUCCGCGCCGCAUUAGCUAGUUGGUAAGGUAACGGCUUACCAAGGCGACGAUGCGUAGCCGACCUGAGAGGGUGAUCGGCCACACUGGAACUGAGACACCGUCCCAACUCCUACGGGGGGGAGCAGUAGGGAAUCUUCCGCAAUGGGCGGAAGCCUGACGGAGCAAACCCGCGUGGGUGAAGAAGGUCUUCGGAUCGUAAAACUCUGUUUUUAGGGAAAAAAAAAUGUGUAAAUAAACAUGCACGUCUUGACGGUACCUAAUCAAAAAGCCCCGGCUAACUUCGUG
rnacentral:rRNA from 1 species